rnacentral:lncRNA from 1 species
UACCGUACCAGUUCAGUACCGGUACCAAUGGCAUAUCGAUCCUCGGUACGCCAAAAAAACUUUGUACCGUACUGUAUCGACAUUAUACUAAUAUGUCACCGAUACACGGUCCGGUACCGGUACGGCGAACCUUGAGUGAAAUCUAUUGUUUGCUCAUAAGAAUUCUAUUUUACAUAAACUUCCUAAACAUCAUAUCAUCAUAUAGUUAUAUGGUGCACAUUGGUCAAAGAAAGAAUUUAAAAUAGCAUUAAACAGACACUAAGAAUGGCUACGCCUUACCAUGACC